GGGAGGUAAAUUUCUUCUAAAGCUAAAUAUUGGCCAGAGACCGAUAGCGCACAAGUAGAGUGAUCGAAAGAUGAAAAGCACUUUGGAAAGAGAGUCAAAAAGCACGUGAAAUUGUUGAAAGGGAAGCGCUUGCAAUCAGACUUGCCUGUAGUUGCUCAUCUGGACUUUUGUCCGGUGCACUCUUCUGCGGGCAGGCCAGCAUCAGUUCAGGCGGCUGGAUAAAGGCCUCUAUCACGUAUCUUCCUUCGGGAUGACCUUAUAGGGGAGGUGUAAUGCAGCCAGCCUGGAUUGAGGUCCGCGCAUCUGCUAGGAUGCUGGCGUAAUGAUUGUAAGCGGCCCGUCUUGAAACACGGGAC
rnacentral:sRNA from 1 species